rnacentral:rRNA from 1 species
ACUGAACGCUGGCGGCAUGCCUUACACAUGCAAGUCGAACGGCAGCACGGGAGCAAUCCUGGUGGCGAGUGGCGAACGGGUGAGUAAAGCAUCGGAACGUGCCCAGUCGUGGGGGAUAACGUAGCGAAAGCUACGCUAAUACCGCAUACGAUCUGCGGAUGAAAGCGGGGGACCGUAAGGCCUCGCGCGAUUGGAGCGGCCGAUGUCAGAUUAGGUAGUUGGUGAGGUAAAGGCUCACCAAGCCGACGAUCUGUAGCGGGUCUGAGAGGACGACAGGACAAACUGGGCUUGAGACACGGCCCAGACUCCUACGGGAGGCAGCAGUGGGGAAUUUUGGACAAUGGGCGCAAGCCUGAUCCAGCAAUGCCGCGUGCAGGAUGAAGGCCUUCGGGUUGUAAACUGCUUUGUUACGGAGCGAAACGACUUCCACUAAUACUGGGGCUAAUGACGGUACCGUAAGAAUAAGCACCGGCUAACUACGUGCCAGCCGCCGCCGUAAGAC